AACUUUGCCACAGUGGCAGUAUCGUAGCCAAUGAGGCUUAUCUGAAGUGUGAUUAUUGCUAAUUGAAAGAUUUUCAUAGAUCAAAGAUGUUUUUGAUGAAUCACAGUUCGCUAAGAACUUUUAUCAAGAAGGGAUGUUGGUUAGAAUGUAUUUUAAUAU
ensembl:snRNA U4 U4 spliceosomal RNA